rnacentral:misc_RNA from 1 species
UCUCCGUUGGUGAACCAGCGGAGGGAUCAUUACAGAGUUUUUAACUCCCAAACCCAUGUGAACUUACCAUUGUUGCCUCGGCGGAGCCUACCCUGUAGCUACCCUGUAGGGUGGUUACCCUGUAGCGCCCCGCCGGUGGAUUUUCAAACUCUUGUUAUUUUUAGUAAUCUGAGCGUCUUAUUUGAAAUAAGUAAAAACUUUCAACAACGGGUCUCUUGGAUAUGGCAUCGAUGAAGAACGCAGC